UACGAAGGGGGCUAGCGUUGUUCGGAAUCACUGGGCGUAAAGCGUACGUAGGCGGAUCGUUAAGUCAGGGGUGAAAGCCUGGAGCUCAACUCCAGAACUGCCUUUGAUACUGGCGAUCUUGAGACCGGGAGAGGUGAGUGGAACUGCUAGUGUAGAGGUGAAAUUCGUAGAUAUUCGCAAGAACACCAGUGGCGAAGGCGGCUCACUGGCCCGAUACUGACGCUGAGGCACGAAAGCGUGGGGAGCAAACAGG
rnacentral:rRNA from 1 species